rnacentral:lncRNA from 1 species
UUGCCCAUUACAAUAGCAUGAUUACAAAAGCAUACGGUUUGUUCUUACGAAGACUAACCGAAUUGGAUGGGAAGGAUGGUUUGCAAGGAGGUAUACUGGCAGAGCAGGAAGAUAGGCAAAGGGGGAAGCGGCUAGAACUUCUCCUCCAACAUAGCUGGUAAGACUAUUGAGAAGGCUAGUGUAAUACCUUAUUGAAGCGGAUAAAGCUCAAUGAAGAUUCUAAACUCAUGGUAGCUCAGGAGUAGGAAAAGGUAUUACAGAAGCGUGCUUUAGGAAGUGUUCAAAAGACGACCUCAA